rnacentral:rRNA from 1 species
CCGGACCGGCGCACGGGUGAGUAACACGUAUGCAACCUGGCCGUCACAGGUGGAUAACCGGAAGAAAUUCCGACUAAUACAGCAUAACACUCCUGAGGGACAUCCCUUGGGAGUCAAAGGAGGCAACUCCGGUGACGGAUGGGCAUGCGGCGCAUUAGGUAGUUGGUAGGGUAACGGCCUACCAAGCCGACGAUGCGUAGGGGUUCUGAGAGGAAGGUCCCCCACCAUUGGAACUGAGACACGGUCCAAACUCCUACGGAAGGCAGCAG